CGGAAAUCCCCCGCUUCCUGCCGAGUCGCACUUUGGGGCUUUUUGGAAUACUACAUCCGCUUCCAGUAAAAGGAAUACUUUGUGGUGUUUGAGAGAUUUCCUAGCGUGACUGGACUUGGAUCAGAGAACUGAGUUCUCAUUUCUUGCUCCUGAUGCCUACUCAAUUUGAUGUCUUGUAUGAAUGCAGAGUGCCGUUCAGGUGAUGAUGAAUAAAAAUUUGUGCCAGUGAUUCCUGUUGAAUUUCCAUUCACUGGUUGUGUGGAUUUCCAGUUAGGUAUGGAUUUUCAGGUAUUUUUACAAGAAGAGGAAGAGGUAUGAAGGAUGUGGGUGUACAGAGGAAGGGCCACGUGAAGACAGAGCAAGAAGACGACCGUCUACUAACCAAGGAGAGAAGCCUCAGAAGGCGAUAGGAAACCAGCCAACAAUCUUGAUCUUGGACUUCCAGCUUCUAGAACUGUGAGAAAUAAAGUUUCAUCACUUAA